CGACUUAAAAAUUUACCUACGUUUGAGCCACCAUCUAUGGCCUGCAGUAUUCCUGCUCAAAUUAAUUUUUCUCGUAAAUAAUACGAUUUCUGUAAUUUAAUAAUCCGUACGGUCAUUAUUGACUUCGUCCAGAUUAAUUUAUCGAUUGGGUGAUAUCAAUUAUUACAAAAACAUAGACACAGGAUGGCCACGAAACAGGAAAAAU